rnacentral:rRNA from 1 species
GAGCGCAUAGGUGAAUGCCUUGGCACUAGAAGAUGAUGAAGGACGUGACGAACUGCGAUAUGCUUUGGGGAGUUGUAAGUAGGCUUUGAUCCAGAGAUUUCCGAAUGGGGGAACCUGCUAAUAUGAAUUAUUAGCAACACGAAGUGAAUAAAAUAGCUUCGAUGUGAAUAACCCGGAGAACUGAAACAUCUAAGUAACCCGAGGAAAAGAAAGAAAAAUCGAUUCUCUUAGUAGUGGCGAGCGAAAAGGGAAUAGCCCAAACCAAUCUUCGGAUUGGGGUUGUAGGACCUUGAUGUGAGACCUCUUUAGUAUAGCCGAAACAGUUUGGAAAACUGUAUCUUAGAAGGUGAAAAUCCUGUAGGCGAAAUAUUAAAAGGCUCUAAAGGUAUCCUGAGUAGGGCGGGACACGUGUAAUCCUGUCUGAAUCUACGGGGACCAUCCCGUAAGGCUAAAUACUCUCUAGUGACCGAUAGUGAACAAGUACCGUGAGGGAAAGGUGAAAAGAACCCCGGGAGGGGAGUGAAAUAGAAAACUGAAACCAUGUGCUUACAAAAAGUCAGAGCCCGUUAAUGGGUGAUGGCGUGCCUUUUGCAGAAUGAACCGGCGAGUUAAUGUUGCAUGCAAGGUUAAGUAGAAGAUACGGAGCCGAAGCGAAAGCGAGUCUGAAUAGGGCGUUUAGUAUGUAGUAUUAGACCCGAAACCGAGUGAUCUAGCCAUGAGCAGGUUGAAGUUUGGGUAAAACCAAAUGGAGGACCGAACCGAUAUACCCGGAAACGUGUACGGAUGACUUGUGGUUAGCGGAGAAAUUCCAAUCGAACUCGGAGAUAGCUGGUUCUCCCCGAAAUAGGUUUAGGCCUAGCCUUGAGUGAAUCAUUAUGGAGGUAGAGCACUGAAUGUGUGCGGGCUUCUACUAGAGGUACCAAAUGCAAUCAAACUCCGAAUGCCAUAAAUGUAUACUCAGGAGUCAGUGUAUGGGUGAUAACGUCCAUACGCGAGAGGAAAAUAAUCCAGAUCGCCAGUUAAGGUCCCUAAAUUCAUGCUAAGUGGGAAAGGAUGUAGAGUUGUCAAAACAGCUAGGAGGUUAGCUUAGAAGCAGCGAUCCUUUAAAGAGUGCGUAAUAGCUCACUAGUCGAGUGACACUGCGCCGAAGAUGUACCGGGGCUAAGCAUGAUACCGAAACUGCGGAUUAUAAGUAAUUAUAGUGGUAGGGGAGCGUUCCAAGGGCGCUGAAGAUAGACCGUGAGGACUGUUGGAGCGCUUGGAAGUGAGAAUGCCGGUGUGAGUAGCGCAAGAUGGGUGGAAAUCCCAUCCACCGUUUGCCUAAGGUUUCCUGGGCCAGGUUCGUCCUCCCAGGGUUAGUCGGGUCCUAAGAUAAGGCUGAAAAGCGUAGUCGAUGGACAACAGGUUGAUAUUCCUGUACCACCUAUAUAACUGAUGGAAUGACGAAGAAAGCUAGGAAGAUCCAGUUAUUGGAUUCUGGUCUAAGCACAAAGACAGAUGAAAUAGGCAAAUCCGUUCAUUAUUAAUGUUGAAGUGUGAUGGCGAAGUGGUUUACCACGAAGUCUUCUGACGCUAUGCUUCCGAGAAAAGUUUCUAGGGUUAAUUAUAUAGGUGCCCGUACCGAGAACCGACACAGGUGGGCAAGGAGAGUAUCCUAAGGUGAGCGAGAGAACUAUGGUUAAGGAACUCUGCAAAAUGACUCCGUAACUUCGGGAGAAGGAGUGACAUAGAAAUAUGUUCGCAGCAAAGAGGCCCAGGCAACUGUUUACCAAAAACACAGCUCUCUGCUAAAUCGUAAGAUGAUGUAUAGGGGGUGACGCCUGCCCAGUGCUGGAAGGUUAAUAAAACGGUUUAGAAAUGACAUAAGUCGAUAAUUUCGAAGAUCGGGAUUGAAGCCCCAGUGAACGGCGGCCGUAACUAUAACGGUCCUAAGGUAGCGAAAUUCCUUGUCAGGUAAGUUCUGACCCGCACGAAAGGCGUAAUGAUCUGGGCGCUGUCUCAACCAUAGACUCGGUGAAAUCUUAAUACCUGUGAAAAUGCAGGUUACCCGCAACUAGACGGAAAGACCCCAUGGAGCUUUACUGUAGCUUGAUAUUGGAAUUCGAUUUAUGAUGUAGAGGAUAGGUGGGAGACGUUGAUUCUAUGACGCCAGUUGUAGAGGAGUCAUCCUUGGAAUACCACCCUUUGUAAAUUGAAUUUCUAACCUAGAACCAUUAUCUGGUUCAGGGACAGUGUCUGGUGGGCAGUUUGACUGGGGCGGUCGCCUCCUAAAAUGUAACGGAGGUGUUCAAAGGUUCCCUCAGAAUGGUUGGAAAUCAUUCAAAGAGCGUAAAGGUAUAAGGGAGCUUAACUGCGAGACCAACAAGUCAAGCAGAUACGAAAGUAGGACUUAAUGAUCAGGCGAUUCUGUAUGGAAUGGUCGUCGCUUAACGGAUAAAAGUUACCCUGGGGAUAACAGGCUGAUACCACCCAAUAGUUCACAUAGACGGUGGUGUUUGGCACCUCGAUGUCGGCUCGUCACAUCCUGGAGGUGUAGUCGCUUCCAAGGGUUGGGCUGUUCGCCCAUUAAAGUGGCACGCGAGCUGGGUUCAGAACGU